rnacentral:rRNA from 1 species
UGAGACCUGAUGCCGAGCCGAUUGUGGUGAAGUGGAUGAUCCUAUGCUGUCGAGAAAAGCCUCUAGCGAGUUUCAUGGCGGCCCGUACCCUAAACCGACUCAGGUGGUCAGGUAGAGAAUACCGAGGCGUUCGGGUGAACUAUGGUUAAGGAACUCGGCAAAAUGCCCCCGUAACUUCGGGAGAAGGGGGGCCAUUCCUGGUGAGAGGGACUUGCUCCUCGAGCUGGGGGUGGCCGCAGAGACCAGCGAGAAGCGACUGUUUACUAAAAACACAGGUCCGUGCGAAGCCGUAAGGCGAUGUAUACGGACUGACGCCUGCCCGGUGCUGGAACGUUAAGGGGACCGGUUAGCUCCAUUUCGGUGGGGCGAAGCUGAGAACUUAAGCGCCAGUAAACGGCGGUGGUAACUAUAACCAUCCUAAGGUAGCGAAAUUCCUUGUCGGGUAAGUUCCGACCUGCACGAAUGGCGUAACGACUUCUCGACUGUCUCAACCAUAGGCCCGGUGAAAUUGCACUACGAGUAAAGAUGCUCGUUUCGCGCAGCAGGACGGAAAGACCCCGGGACCUUUACUACAGUUUGAUAUUGGUGUUCGGUUCGGCUUGUGUAGGAUAGCUGGGAGACUUUGAAGCAGGCACGCCAGUGUUUGUGGAGUCGUCGUUGAAAUACCAGUCUGGUCGUGCUGGAUGUCUAACCUGGGUCCGUGAUCCGGAUCAGGGACAGUGUCUGAUGGGUAGUUUAACUGGGGCGGUUGCCUCCUAAAGGGUAACGGAGGCGCCCAAAGGUUCCCUCAGCCUGGUUGGCAAUCAGGUGUUGAGUGUAAGUGCACAAGGGAGCUUGACUGUGAGACCGACGGGUCGAGCAGGGACGAAAGUCGGGACUAGUGAUCCGGCGGUGGCUUGUGGAAGCGCCGUCGCUCAACGGAUAAAAGGUACCCCGGGGAUAACAGGCUGAUCUUCCCCAAGAGUCCAUAUCGACGGGAUGGUUUGGCACCUCGAUGUCGGCUCGUCGCAUCCUGGGGCUGGAGUCGGUCCCAAGGGUUGGGCUGUUCGCCCAUUAAAGCGGUACGCGAGCUGGGUUUAGAACGUCGUGAGACAGUUCGGUCCCUAUCCGCUGUGCGCGUAGGAGUCUUGAGAAGGGCUGUCCCUAGUACGAGAGGACCGGGACGGACGAACCUCUGGUGUGCCAGUUGUUCUGCCAAGGGCAUGGCUGGUUGGCUACGUUCGGGAGGGAUAACCGCUGAAAGCAUCUAAGCGGGAAGCCUGCUUCGAGAUGAGGACUCCCACCCACUUGAUGGGGUAAGGCUCCCAGUAGACGACUGGGUUGAUAGGCCGGAUCUGGAAGCCAGGUAACUGGUGGAGGUGACCGGUACUAAUAGGCCGAGGGCUUGUCCUCAGUUG